AGCGAACGCUGGCGGCAGGCUUAACACAUGCAAGUCGAGCGGGCCCUUCGGGGUCAGCGGCAGACGGGUGAGUAACGCGUGGGAACGUGCCCUUCGGUUCGGAAUAACUCAGGGAAACUUGAGCUAAUACCGGAUACGCCCUUUUGGGGAAAGGCUUGACUGCCGAAGGAUCGGCCCGCGUCUGAUUAGCUAGUUGGUGAGGUUACGGCUCACCAAGGCGACGAUCAGUAGCUGGUCUGAGAGGAUGAUCAGCCACACUGGGACUGAGACACGGCCCAGACUCCUACGGGAGGCAGCAGUGGGGAAUAUUGGACAAUGGGGGCAACCCUGAUCCAGCCAUGCCGCGUGAGUGAUGACGGCCUUAGGGUUGUAAAGCUCUUUUCUCCGGGACGAUAAUGACGGUACCGGAGGAAUAAGCCCCGGCUAACUUCGUGCCAGCAGCCGCGGUA
rnacentral:rRNA from 1 species